AGGAGACUGAGCCGCUGCGAGCCCGGCGCUCAGAGUCUGGCGCUGCCCGGCCCCCGCCGGCCCCUCCCUCUGGGCUGUGCGCGGGGAGCGGGGCCGCAGCGCGCUCAGCUCCCGAGUCCUCUGCUCCACGCCUCCUGGGCGCAGAGGCGACGCUGGCAGCCGUCUCUUAGGAGAUUUCUCCGCAGUGUGGACGGGGGUCAGGAUUUGCAGGCGAGCAAGGGCAGAGAGGAGAAAUCGUACAGCCCCUCCCACCCCUGUCCCUUCCUCAGCCUUUACACAAGGAGUAGUUAUAUCCCCAGAGAGGCCAUGCUGGGGCUGCUACUGGCAUGAAGCUAGAGAUGCUGGAACACAGGGCUGUGAGGCCAGACAGGCUGAGCGUCAAGGAAACAAUCUGCAGUGGCCCUGCGAGGAGGCUGACGGUGGGCUUCCAUCUGAUGGUCCAAGACAGCUGCAGUGGGUCGCCAACUACUCACUAGGAGGAAGAAAUAAAGGGAGAAGAAGAGAAUUUCCACUUCUCUUAAGGACACUGCUUGGAAAUGACAAACACUACUUCUACUUGCAAUCAUUGAUCUGAACUAUAUCUCAAAGACUUGCCCAGCUGCAAGAGAGACUGGUAAACAUAGUCUAUUCUGGGUGGCUACAUGCCCGGCUAAAUUCAGGAUUUCUGUUUUUGAGGAGGAAAAGGAAAGGGAUGUUGAAAGACAAUUAGCAGUCUGGCACAGCAGGGAUGUGGACCCAGGACUAUGUGGUUCCAGAGACUAGAACCUUUUCAUCGUCCCACACUGCUUCUUGAGCACUUGGCAGCCAAGGAGAGGAGGCAGAGUGCCAAAGAUAGCUUUCCUAUGUGUCCUGAGGUGGCCUGAGGCUCUAAGCAUGAGACACAUGCUAUAGGUUAUCUUAGAAAUGUCCUCAGUUUUUUGCUCCAGUGUUUUGAAUACUUUUAUACACUCAUCCCAUAUGUUAUCAUUGUUUAUUUUCAGUUUUCCUGAAUCAAACAUUAGCUAAUUGGUAAUGUUUAUUACAUGAAAGACUGAAUUGAUGAACCAGCCAAUUUUGUUUAUGUAUCUCUAGCAUAAUGUCUAGUGUUUUACCGGUAUUCAACAAAUAUAUGUUUAUUGAAUUGAUGGUUGGAGAGCCAACGGCUUUUCUAAUUCAAUAUUUUUUUCUGAUUUUGAGUAAGCACGGCCUACCUUCUCAGCCUAUCCUUUUCUCUUCAGUGAUGGGAGAAGAGAGAAAACAGAAAAUAAAAUAGGAAAAGAAAAAAAUGGGGCAACGUAUAUUUUUAAGUUCUCUCAUCCCUACUUUCUUCUCUCUGUUUAUUUUUGAUGCCACAACAAUGAAUUUUUCUAUCCAGAUGGACUUCCACAAUACACUUGGGGAAUGGUUUAAAGAUGCUACCUUCAAGCAGCCUGAUGACCAAUGAACUUAGAAAUAUUUAGAGAAGUUGCAGCUAAUUUUAUUUGGUCAAAGAUUACAUGAUUUCUCUUUGUGACAUUUCCUUCCCUGAGAACCUAAAUAAAAUUGAAUAUUUCAAAGCUCUAAAGACAAAAGUUUGAAAAUCCCUUGCAAGUUAGUUCUGGCAAAUUCAUAGUCAUUUUAACUCCAUAAAGAAGUAAACAUCAUCACAUUCCUCAUGAAAAACUCCAGCAAGAGCCAUUGGCACAGUUUGAAUAUAAACAUCCAGCACUAAAUGACUUCAUCAAGCUACAAUCCCUGUGCUCAGCGAUUUAGAGGAAAUCAGCAGCUUCACCAAGGUUUAUUUUGUUGUUUUUUUUCUUUUGCUGAGCAAUUGGGGGCCAAAAAUAAAACACUAUUACAUCAAACUGCAGACAAAUAAAAAUCUGAAUACAUUUGCUGUCUUCUCAGGGCCUUUCUGAACCUAAUGAACACAGCAGAGCCCAAGCCGUCAAGAUGUUUCUUGCCAUUAGGCUCUGGGGGAGAUCAUCCAAUAAGUCCUGAUGGCAUUGCCAGCUCUGAGGGUAAAGUAGAUGAAAGUUCAGAAGAAUGUAAAUAUUUUCUAAUAGAUGAAAGGGAGAUCUAACACAUUCCUCUGCCCUUUUCAAAGGAAGGCAAGAUGAAUUAUUUGCAUUAAUUAGCAUGUUGAAAAACUCCUGCUGGAUUGCCAAGUGUGUUCUAGCGGGUGGUGGGAAACAUGUAAAUAUGAUGUACAGCAAUCUGUCGAAAAGAGCCAAUGUUUUGGACUUUGUGAGUACGUAUGAAAUGUGAAACAGCUUAGCCAGGUAUGUGGCAUUGGUCUUUCCAGUCAGUUAAAAAGAUGAACAUUUGUCUAACAACAUUGGUAUACACUGCUUGAGUUCUGAAAUGCCAAUUUGCUCAGAAUAAUAGGCAUUGUUAAAAGAAAACUCUUUGGGAGCAAGGUUAAAUUAUUAUUAUCUCCAGCAUAGGCAAAACUGAGUAAACACUAAACAAAAUAUUUCAUUUAAUUCUCACAGCGACCCUUGGAAGAAAGUACAACUGGUAUAAUCACCAUCUAACAGAUAACAAAAAUGGAACAUUGGAGCAGUUAGGUAAUCUGGCCCCAGAUUUGGCCCCAAAUUACUCAUGAAGGUACUAAAUGGCAGAGUCAGGCAUUUGAACCAGGUCAGUCUGACUUACAGAGCCAGUAUCCUUCACUUAGUUAUGGUGAAGACUUUGUCCGUCUUCCUAACUGGAUGUCAUUUCAGGAGUUACUUAGCUUUGCUCUGCCUCUAUUUCUUUGUCUAUACAAGGGGAACAAAAAUAAUUGUAUAUCAUUGGUUUGUGAGGAUUAAAUUAUAUACUGAAUAUAAAACA